rnacentral:rRNA from 1 species
GCAUAGCCGUAAAUAGAUAUAGAUACUAUAUCCGCCCGGGAACUACGAACACUAGUUUAAAACCCAAAGGACUUGGCGGUGCUUUAGACCCCCCUAGAGGAGCCUGUUCUAGAACCGAUAAUCCCCGUCAAACCUCACCCUCUCUUGUUAUAUCCGCCUAUAUACCGCCGUCGUCAGCUUACCCUGUAAAGGCAAAACAGUGAACAGAAUUGGUAAAACCCAAAACGACAGGUCGAGGUGUAGUUUAUGAGAGGGGAAGAAAUGGGCUACAUUCGCCCCUAGCGAAUACGAAUGAUUUACUGAAACAUAAAUUUGAAGGAGGAUUUAGCAGUAAGAGGGAAAUAGAGUGUCCUUCUGAAACCGGCCCUGAAGCGCG